rnacentral:rRNA from 1 species
CACGUAGGCACCAAGCGUUGUCCGGAUUUAUUGGGCGUAAAGAGCUCGUAGGCGGCUUGUCGCGUCGUCCGUGAAAACUUGGGGCUCAACCCCAAGCUUGCGGUCGAUACGGGCAGGCUCGAGUUCGGUAGGGGAGACUGGAAUUCCUGGUGUAGCGGUGAAAUGCGCAGAUAUCAGGAGGAACACCGGUGGCGAAGGCGGGUCUCUGGGCCGAUACUGACGCUGAGGAGCGAAAGCGUGGGGAGCGAACAGG